CCAUAUUCUAGCAACUUCCUAACUUAUUAAAUCAAAUUUUUAUUGUAAAUUCUAAAUUAAUUAAUAUCAUGAAAAUCAUGUAUAUUUCUAUAUUGGCAACAACCCUUGUUGACAGAUGAUUCUCAUUGGAUACAGAACUGUCAUCCAUAUCGAUUCAGUUGCUAGAUCAAUUAAAGUCCUUGCCAUGCGCAAAAACUUAUAUUUGAGACAAACCUAAAAACGUCGUUAUACUAAAAAUGUGCAAUGUCACAAUACCCCUCUCCCUGCUGUAGCGUUUUACCAAGGGUAAAACGCUCGCUGUCCUCAGCGACUAAUACCUAACCAUGUGUCACAAAAGCAAGGAAAACAAAACAACACACCUCGACCAUACAGAGUAUGGGAGAAACACAUAACAAAAAAGAACAUCGAUUGCUGUAGGUAUCGAGAUCCGUUCCCAAAAAAAAAACCAAUCCACAAAACCAAAUAAGUAAACGUCCUAAAAGUGAAUCUCGAACCCACGCAACACCACAAAAUAAAAAACCUAGUGUGGUUCCCGAACCAUCAAAAAAUAACCCACACUACAAAACCAACCAAACAGAAAAACAUUCUUUUGGCUUUACCAACACAACUUUUCAGUUGCGUUGGAAAAACCAAAACCAACAGCCAGGACCGAUGUUCAGCACACCCAAACAUUCUCCGCUAGACCGGGCAAAAUAAAAAUCCAAAAAUGAUUCCUACUUCCAAGUUUACUAUCAUAAACUUGAGAAGCUCAUAAUUUAAUUUAAAAUAAAAUUCCAAUCCGAGAAUAUAAAUCCAUAAACCAAAAUAACCGUGACAGUUUACUAACAAAAUGCAAAAUCCAUCAACACACGGUUGAAUUGGCAACAUUGUGCUGUUCCAAUUCUUCCAUAAAGGAAACAAAAAAACCACCACAAACUGUCACGCACCUUCGAGUUGGUGAGAUAAAAGACUCCCACCCAACUCUCCGGAUCACAAAAUCCUACACAACUCUGAGGUUGCAACAUGCCCGAGACCUCGACCGUUUGGUUGAGACUCACCAAAAAAUAUGUAUCGCACGCCAGGCAUGAUUGGCGGCGAUACCCCAAAAACCCGUGCGCCACCCCACCGCCUCCAUGGCAUGGGAAAAGCAGCACGGAACACAAAAUGUACCCACCAGCGAGUACCCGAUCGACACCACAAAAGGCAAGAACCCGGUACGGAGCGCAUCCAAAAGGGGAUGCAAGAAGUAGGCAGUGCUACCGCGCCCUGCCAUACCUCACCACUCCUGGGUAUGGACCUCAUGUCGACCCCAAAUCGCGCCACUACGACGCUCGGGUGUGGUAAGCACCCGCAAAAAAAACUCAAUUCGAAAAAACAGGUCGUAUCAAGGAUCGCUCAAACGUAAAAUGAACCAGAUUGUGUCGCCCCUUUCAUACUUCACGCAUUUCAGAGAACUGUUCCAGGAACCCUUUCAUCCCUCACACAAAACAAAAUAGUAGUGAAAACAGACUUUGCUGUUCACCACGUUCCAUACAUAAAGUCGUGAUUGAAUAUUUUCACCACAAUAUUCAACACUUCAAACGAAACAACCAAAGAGUGACACGAUAUGGCGUAAGCGAGGGCGUUAACUCUGGCGGCAAGGUGAAAGCAAAAAAAAAUAACCCGGACCUUGCGUCCAGAGAGAACCUCUACCUCCUAACUUACCCAAAACAAUCUCUAAAUCCUUGUAUACGCCACAAAACCAAAUCCAAGUUUUCACAAAAAACAAACGCCCUUAAAUGAAACCGCACGUUGCGAGACAUUUAAAUUUAAAACUGGCGCUAAAACCACGUCGUAACCUUAAAUAAAUCUAAACAUAAAACCGAGCGUUUAUUUAACCGCUCAAGUUACGACAAACUUGGAUCAAAAAACACGCAUCCGAACGUACCCCUCGUUGAACUUAUCUUGUCUGUGGUCUGUGCCUUUAAAAAAAAACUAAAUGUCAACAAAUAUUUAUCGUUACCUACAAAAUUACUAAUAUCUGCCGUUUUUACUGCUACAAAUUAAUAAAACAACACUUAAUUCAACUACAAAAUCAUGGAAAACUAACAUGAGUGUGAUAAACGUUCGAUAAUCUAAAGGAAUGACUAAAAUUUAUUCAGGAAUGCUAACUGGAAUGCAAAGAAUUCUACUACUAACAGCAGAUUACUAGAAACUGUACUAAAUCUUAAGAAUCAUACCACAAAAGCAACUAGGCACCUAGCAACAGCUACAACUAGACCACAGACUACAAAAGAAAACCAAAACAUGAACAUCAGAGGAACUCGGGCACUGAUAAUGUGCUGAAAACAACUCCCAACGGAAACCUUCCAUUUGCAUGGAGAACAACACAAACCACUUCGCCGGCAACCAACAACAAUGCAGCUGCCGGACACUCAAAACUCAAGCCGUUCCAGCACUUCAACCAUUACCGGUGUCGUCCCUGACUGAAUUCACCUGUAUAAGUUCAACAGGCACAAAAGUGAAAUUGCCACUGUAUAAUAAGUUUAACUCAAAAGGAACUCAAAUAUGAUGGCACCGACUUACAACUUGAAGUGAUACUGUUGUGUUAUAAUUUAUAUUAAACAAUGUUGAAUUGA